UACGUAGGGGGCAAGCGUUGUCCGGAUUUAUUGGGCGUAAAGCGCUCGCAGGUGGUCCGAUGCGUCGUGCGUGAAAGACCCUGGCUCAACUAGGGAGGUCACGCGAUACUGAUCGACUGGAAGGCAGGAGAGGGUAGUGGAAUUCCCGGUGUAGUGGUGAAAUGCGUAGAUAUCGGGAGGAACACCAGUGGCGAAGGCGACUACCUGGCCUGUUCUUGACGCUGAGGCGCGAAAGCUAGGGGAGCAAACGGGG
rnacentral:rRNA from 1 species